rnacentral:rRNA from 1 species
AGAUUAAGUUAUUAAGGGCGCACGGUGGAUGCCUUGGCACUAGAAGCCGAUGAAGGACGUUACUAACGACGAUAUGCUUUGGGGAGCUGUAAGUAAGCUUUGAUCCAGAGAUUUCCGAAUGGGGAAACCCAGCAUGAGUUAUGUCAUGUUAUCGAUAUGUGAAUACAUAGCAUAUCAGAAGGCACACCCGGAGAACUGAAACAUCUUAGUACCCGGAGGAAGAGAAAGAAAAUUCGAUUCCCUUAGUAGCGGCGAGCGAAACGGGAAGAGCCCAAACCAACAAGCUUGCUUGUUGGGGUUGUAGGACACUCUAUACGGAGUUACAAAGGACGACAUUAGACGAAUCAUCUGGAAAGAUGAAUCAAAGAAGGUAAUAAUCCUGUAGUCGAAAAUGUUGUCUCUCUUGAGUGGAUCCUGAGUACGACGGAGCACGUGAAAUUCCGUCGGAAUCUGGGAGGACCAUCUCCUAAGGCUAAAUACUCUCUAGUGACCGAUAGUGAACCAGUACCGUGAGGGAAAGGUGAAAAGCACCCCGGAAGGGGAGUGAAAUAGAACCUGAAACCGUGUGCUUACAAGUAGUCAGAGCCCGUUAAUGGGUGAUGGCGUGCCUUUUGUAGAAUGAACCGGCGAGUUACGAUUUGAUGCAAGGUUAAGCAGUAAAUGUGGAGCCGUAGCGAAAGCGAGUCUGAAUAGGGCGUUUAGUAUUUGGUCGUAGACCCGAAACCAGGUGAUCUACCCUUGGUCAGGUUGAAGUUCAGGUAACACUGAAUGGAGGACCGAACCGACUUACGUUGAAAAGUGAGCGGAUGAACUGAGGGUAGCGGAGAAAUUCCAAUCGAACCUGGAGAUAGCUGGUUCUCUCCGAAAUAGCUUUAGGGCUAGCCUCAAGUGAUGAUUAUUGGAGGUAGAGCACUGUUUGGACGAGGGGCCCCUCUCGGGUUACCGAAUUCAGACAAACUCCGAAUGCCAAUUAAUUUAACUUGGGAGUCAGAACAUGGGUGAUAAGGUCCGUGUUCGAAAGGGAAACAGCCCAGACCACCAGCUAAGGUCCCAAAAUAUAUGUUAAGUGGAAAAGGAUGUGGCGUUGCCCAGACAACUAGGAUGUUGGCUUAGAAGCAGCCAUCAUUUAAAGAGUGCGUAAUAGCUCACUAGUCGAGUGACACUGCGCCGAAAAUGUACCGGGGCUAAACAUAUUACCGAAGCUGUGGAUUGUCCUUUGGACAAUGGUAGGAGAGCGUUCUAAGGGCGUUGAAGCAUGAUCGUAAGGACAUGUGGAGCGCUUAGAAGUGAGAAUGCCGGUGUGAGUAGCGAAAGACGGGUGAGAAUCCCGUCCACCGAUUGACUAAGGUUUCCAGAGGAAGGCUCGUCCGCUCUGGGUUAGUCGGGUCCUAAGCUGAGGCCGACAGGCGUAGGCGAUGGAUAACAGGUUGAUAUUCCUGUACCACCUAUAAUCGUUUUAAUCGAUGGGGGGACGCAGUAGGAUAGGCGAAGCGUGCGAUUGGAUUGCACGUCUAAGCAGUAAGGCUGAGUAUUAGGCAAAUCCGGUACUCGUUAAGGCUGAGCUGUGAUGGGGAGAAGACAUUGUGUCUUCGAGUCGUUGAUUUCAUACUGCCGAGAAAAGCCUCUAGAUAGAAAAUAGGUGCCCGUACCGCAAACCGACACAGGUAGUCAAGAUGAGAAUUCUAAGGUGAGCGAGCGAACUCUCGUUAAGGAACUCGGCAAAAUGACCCCGUAACUUCGGGAGAAGGGGUGCUCUUUAGGGUUAACGCCCAGAAGAGCCGCAGUGAAUAGGCCCAAGCGACUGUUUAUCAAAAACACAGGUCUCUGCUAAACCGUAAGGUGAUGUAUAGGGGCUGACGCCUGCCCGGUGCUGGAAGGUUAAGAGGAGUGGUUAGCUUCUGCGAAGCUACGAAUCGAAGCCCCAGUAAACGGCGGCCGUAACUAUAACGGUCCUAAGGUAGCGAAAUUCCUUGUCGGGUAAGUUCCGACCCGCACGAAAGGCGUAACGAUUUGGGCACUGUCUCAACGAGAGACUCGGUGAAAUCAUAGUACCUGUGAAGAUGCAGGUUACCCGCGACAGGACGGAAAGACCCCGUGGAGCUUUACUGUAGCCUGAUAUUGAAAUUCGGCACAGCUUGUACAGGAUAGGUAGGAGCCUUUGAAACGUGAGCGCUAGCUUACGUGGAGGCGCUGGUGGGAUACUACCCUAGCUGUGUUGGCUUUCUAACCCGCACCACUUAUCGUGGUGGGAGACAGUGUCAGGCGGGCAGUUUGACUGGGGCGGUCGCCUCCUAAAAGGUAACGGAGGCGCUCAAAGGUUCCCUCAGAAUGGUUGGAAAUCAUUCAUAGAGUGUAAAGGCAUAAGGGAGCUUGACUGCGAGACCUACAAGUCGAGCAGGGUCGAAAGACGGACUUAGUGAUCCGGUGGUUCCGCAUGGAAGGGCCAUCGCUCAACGGAUAAAAGCUACCCCGGGGAUAACAGGCUUAUCUCCCCCAAGAGUUCACAUCGACGGGGAGGUUUGGCACCUCGAUGUCGGCUCAUCGCAUCCUGGGGCUGUAGUCGGUCCCAAGGGUUGGGCUGUUCGCCCAUUAAAGCGGUACGCGAGCUGGGUUCAGAACGUCGUGAGACAGUUCGGUCCCUAUCCGUCGUGGGCGUAGGAAAUUUGAGAGGAGCUGUCCUUAGUACGAGAGGACCGGGAUGGACAUACCUCUGGUGUACCAGUUGUCGUGCCAACGGCAUAGCUGGGUAGCUAUGUGUGGACGGGAUAAGUGCUGAAAGCAUCUAAGCAUGAAGCCCCCCUCAAGAUGAGAUUUCCCAACUUCGGUUAUAAGAUCCCUCAAAGAUGAUGAGGUUAAUAGGUUCGAGGUGGAAGCAUGGUGACAUGUGGAGCUGACGAAUACUAAUCGAUCGAAGACUUAAUCAAAUU